GACGUAGGGUCCAAGCGUUGUCCGGAUUUACUGGGCGUAAAGAGCUCGUAGGUGGUUUGUCGCGUUGUUCGUGAAAACUCACAGCUCAACUGUGGGCGUGCGGGCGAUACGGGCAGACUAGAGUACUGCAGGGGAGACUGGAAUUCCUGGUGUAGCGGUGGAAUGCGCAGAUAUCAGGAGGAACACCGGUGGCGAAGGCGGGUCUCUGGGCAGUAACUGACGCUGAGGAGCGAAAGCGUGGGGAGCGAACAGG
rnacentral:rRNA from 1 species